AGGGGAGCGUAGGCGGCUGAUUAAGUCAGCGGUGAAAGGUAGCAGCUUAACUGUUUUACAUGCCGUUGAUACUGGUUAGCUUGAGUUGACAGAAGGCAGAUAGAAUUCCUGGUGUAGCGGUGAAAUGCUUAGAUACCAGGAGGAAUACCGAUUGCGAAGGCAGUCUGCUGCAGUCACACUGACGCUGAGGCUCGAAGGUGCGGGGAUCAAACAGGAUUAGAUACCCUAGU
rnacentral:rRNA from 1 species